UAGUUAGCCUCGAUCCCAGGCCGAGUUUUCGCUUUUAUAACGGUUAGGCGAACAACUGGGCCUGGUACUAGUUGUCUGCGCAUGCGUCAAUCGUUCGUCAGAUUCUGACGAAUGGAUAUUCUCGUUCACUUUCGUGACAUUUAUAUUCGUGUACUAUCGUGUACUAGAAGUCAGUUCCCGUUUUAUCAUUAUUGGAAUCGAUUGGAAUGGCUCUUAGCUGAAGCUUCUCUCUUCUCUGAAGCUUAUUCUGAAGACUGAACAACAAGGGAAGAGGUAUAAAGCUUUGUCAAGCUUGUUAAGGUCAGAUAUUUUUGUGUGGGCCCUAUGGCCGGCUAUGCUAUCAAGUCUUGUUCAUGUUUGGCAAGAAUGUAGGUAGACUAUAGUUUCAUCAUUAAUAUGGUGGAUCAAGUGAAGAGUGUGAGCUAGAGAACUUGGUGCUGCCAUCAUCAGCUCGUCGACAAUGACACUAUAACCGAGAAAUUUAAUAUGUAUAGAUCUACACGUAUUUAAAAUGUCUACUUCUCUGUACAGGAGCAAUGGCUAAUAUCCAGCUAUCCCAACAGUGCUCCUCUUGGCUAUACUAACGGACGAGACUGGACAGUUUGAGACACAGGACUGGAGUAUGACCUGCUCAUUCGAGCGUUGCUGGGUAGCUCAGAGACAUCAAGAGAAUCUACGUUUUUUCAAGCAAUGAGUUACGAGUUGGGGCCUAGAAUCAGAGAAGUCCAGCAGCCUGCUAAAUCUUUUUGAAACGUAAUUUGAAGGCAUUCAAUCAUCCUGAAGUUGCCCUGGGUCACUGUAAUUGUGCUGCAGCACAACUGGCAACUCCCCAGGCCUUUGUGAAGCAGCUCCCUAUGUGCAUCUUUUGUGUACUCACUCUGUGCAUUUUCUGUGUACAAAUUUUGAUUAUUGAUUUAUUAAAUAUUUUUGCCGACCACAAAUAUACAAUGAAAA